UUAGUAUAGUGUUCGACAGCCAGGUCAUAUGCCUAUGUUGUUUCACUUUCAACAGCACACACGAGAUGAUGGCCAACAAACAAUAGCAUACAAUGAGCUCAUUCAGAGUCUGCGAAGCAAGUUAACUUCAUUUCAUUUGAGUGUACAAAGUAAACCAAGCAAAGCAAGAUAAUCACUUCUAUCAAGCCAGUCAUGUUUACAUUGAUAUAUUGUUUUUGGUUAUAUGUACUGCUGAGUCGAUUUUGUAACAUUUAUACUCGUGUCAUAUGGUAGCUGAGAUAAGUCAAAGGCAGUUACACCCAAACCGACUGAAGGCCCUGGAGAGAAAGAGGGAAUGCGUGAGGGUAAACUUUUCCAGCGCUACAGAACUCAUGACAGCUGGCUCUGAUGGAGACACACAUCACUACACUACAGUGUGUUCAGAGUUCACAGUGAAGCAACCCUACGGUUUUGCUCUUUCACCUGGUACUGUGACAGUCCUACUGACAUGCACGAUAAAGUUAUUGAGAUGAGAAGCCUAAAAAGUGGAGGAUCAAACCCUAACAUCUACUCAUCAUAAUUGUAAGCAGAUGGUGAUUUAAGGGUCAAUCACAUUAAUGAUGUAAUUUUCAAUUAUAGUGCUCAAAGCAGUUAUUUCUUUAUAUCACCGGUUUUCACCGGAGUGUGAAGUGUAAACCACAGACGAAGUGGUUCAUUAGAUUUAUUUAUUAUUGAGCUCUAAUACCCAUUAGACUUGGUCUGGUCUUUUGAAUUGAACCUAAAUAACUCAAACAGGUGUGUGCGUGUGUGUAGAUAUAAAACCAACCUGAACCUAAAGAUUUAGGACCCUUAUAAAUAGACACAUUUAAGUAAUGUUGGUGAAAUAAAUCUAUAUUGUGAGAUCUGUGUGUAUUUGAGGUGGUCCUGGGCUACAUGGUGUUUGA